AGAAGAAGAAGAAGAAGAAGAAGAAGAAUUCAAAAUGGAUGAAGUUCAAGGCUGUUCAUAACAUGAUCCUUGCUGGCUUCUCCAGUCCCACCUUUGCCUCCUCUUCUUGGCAUCUUGUGUGUUGGCCAGUUGACGCAUGCUGCUCUGAAUGAGCACAUGACCCAGGAUUGGCCAAUCAGGUGACACCAUGCCUCUAGCCACAAGGCUAGAUUCAGGAAUGGAUAUGUAACUGAAGCCCUACCAAUCAGAGACUUUCCUGGGACUUUCAUGCCAGAGCUAUCAGGAAAGACUUGCUUGCCCCUCUGGAGUUGCUGAGGAUGUGAGUAUGGCAUCUUGCUACAUAGAGAGCCUAUUCAAGAACAAAGCCAAAUGGAGUCACGAUGAGAAAGCCAGCCCUGAUGACAUAGUUUGAGCUUUUAGAACCAUCCAUGUCUGAGAGCAGUCCCAUCUCUUCCACUGUGUGAUGUGGUGGCUUACCUGAGUUAGGUCUCUGUCACUUAUU